ACUCCUACGGGAGGCAGCAGUAGGGAUCUUCGGCAAUGGGCGAAAGCCUGACCGAGCAACGCCGCGUGAGCGAUGAAGGCCUUCGGGUCGUAAAGCUCUGUUGUUAGGGAAGAACAAGUAUGAGUUGAAUAAGCUCAUGCCUUGACGGUACCUAACGAGAAAGCCACGGCUAACUACGUGCCAGCAGCCGCGGUAAU
rnacentral:rRNA from 1 species